AAAACACAAUAUAAAAUAUUCAAAUAUUAUUCAUUUUCAAAUAUAUCUCGUUUUUUACCUCGCCAAACCAUAAAUGGCAAGCAACAUGAUGCUCGUACUUCACCAAAAGAGACGUAUCGUACGGCCAUCCUGGAUAUCCAGCUGGCUCUACUGCAGAUGAAGAUGCGCCCCGACCUAAACUGCAAUCUGGAAUCCUACCAUCUGCACCUCGUCUUCGAACCACUGCAAAACAAUAUUAUAACAAA
rnacentral:lncRNA from 1 species